rnacentral:rRNA from 1 species
GACGAACGCUGGCGGCGCGCUUAACACAUGCAAGUCGAGCGAAGCGGCGGACGGGUGAGUAACACGUGAGUAACCUGCCUUAGACAUUGGGAUAGCCUCGGGAAACCGGGCUUAAUACCAAAUGGUCUAAGAUGGACUCGCGUCCCAUGAGCUAGUUGGUGAGGUAACGGCCCACCAAGGCGACGAGGGGUAUUCGGACUGGGAGGGUGAACGGUCACAGUGGAAAUGAGGAACGGACCAAACUCGACGUGAGGCAGCGAAGGGGAAUAUUGCAGAAAGGAGGGAAAUCUGAUGGAUCGCGGCUGAGUGGACAAAGAAAGCUGUAGAGUCGAAGAGGUCUUUUAUAUGAAGAGCGGUACCAUAAGAAAAAGCCCCGGCUAACUACGUGCCAGCAGCCGCGGUAAUAC